rnacentral:rRNA from 1 species
CCCUUAGAUGUUCUGGGCCGCACGCGCGCUACAAUGAUGAAUUCAACGAGUUUAUAACCUUGGUUGAAAAGCCUGGGUAAUCUUUUGAACUUUCGUCGUGAUGGGGCUAGACCCUUGCAAUUAUUGGUCUCCAACGAGGAAUUCCUAGUAAACACAAGUCAUCAGCUUGCAUUGAUUACGUCCCUGCCCUUUGUACACACCGCCCGUCGCACCUACCGAUUGAAUGGUCCGGUGAAAUCUUCGGAUUGAGACUUUGAUUUCUUCACGGAAAACGCUGUUUUAAGAAGUUGAUUAAACCUUACCAUUUAGAGGAAGGUGAAGUCGUAACA